ensembl:lncRNA
AGGACAGGGAUUAAGGAACCUGCAGAGAAAGAGAAGAACAAAUAAAAAAAUAAUAGAUCACCAAACCUCAUAUUACAAUAUGAAUAACUACUAGGCUAAGAAGUUAAGUAAAUGCUGCUCUUGUUCAUUCAUGCAAUCACAAUAUCAUAUAAAAAUUAAUGAUUUUAAAAAUAUUGAUAUUUUGAACACAUCCUGGUUCUGCCUUAAUUCAAAUGGAUAAACAAACAGGAAUAACAUGAUCAGGGUUCUUGUAUACACUUUAUAUAUGUAUAUAUAUAUCCCCCAAUAACCCCUCAAUAAGCAUUUACACGUCCAAAAUAAAAUUAUGAGUUUAUUUCCAAGAAAAAAAAAAAAACAUGUUGUGUAUAUAUAUUUAGCCUAUAUUAGGGGUGUAUUGAUUCAUCGAUAUGGAUCGAUGCAUCGAUAGCACCUAAAAAAAACACCUAAAUAACCUUUGUAAAAUCAAAAACGAUUAAUCUAUAUUUAGUUUUAAACAGUGAAGACUAUGCAGUUAUUUACAUUUGAUAUAUUAGGGGUGUAUUGAUUCAUCGAUAUGGAUCGAUCGAUGCAUCGAUAGCACACGUACAAUAUCGAUAUAAAUAGGCAGCUUAUUUGACACUGUCUACAUAUUCACAUAAUGUCCGUCAACGGGUGCAUUCUCGUUCAAACUCACCGAUUAGGACUCGGUAUAAGGCACAAGGUGAGCAUAUAAAACGCUCGGGAUUGUUCGCGGAACAGUCGAGCGCUGUGUGUUUCACCGCACACAUCUGAAGCGCGUGCAUGCACACAGACAGCCGCACGCGCGAAUACUAAACUGAGCUAUCUUCCGCUUUUUUUGUGCAUGGAUCAAUAAAUACAUAAUUACAUCUAAAUGCGCGUUUUGGGGAAUAUCCUAGUAAACACAGUCGGUUAGGCAUACGUCUUAACGUUAACAGUUCAGAAAUAAAAGGCAUGUGUAUAUUAAACCCGUGAUUGGUUCUUAAAGUGAAAGCAUAAUAAUAAAUCUAAUGCUGUCAAAGAAAAAUACAAGUGCUCACUGCUUCUGACUAAAUAACCUUUGUAACAUCAAAAACGAUUAACACAUACACUCAGCGCACACACAUUCUUCACAGGGCAAUGGCAGAGUCAUCAGAGUGACUCAGCCCCCUCCUUUUUCUCACACAGAGAGAGUGGCCUCGGAGUGAGAUCAGAUGACUGACAGUUUUUUAAUUUUCUGUUAUCCAUAGAGCACUGAAAAGUCGUGAAACUAUGCAUAUUUGCUCAGAAUGACUUAUCCUCUAUAUAUAAAAAUUUUGAAGUGUUUGGAAGCUGCACUUUAAGAAAUAUAAGACAAUUUAUGUUUACUUUUUUACUGUUAUUUCAAUAAAUCACUACAGCAAAACCGUUCAAGCUAUCCAAAAUCCAUUCGCAAUUUAAGUUCCUCAAUGUUUUGGCAUCAUGUAGACAAAGUUUGGUGUGUAUACUGUAAUUCUCCUCUGAGCAGUAUGCAUUAAUUCACAGCUAUAUUUUUCCAAAAAUCCAUAUUCAAAUCAAUAUAACCGCCUUCCUGUUCAUCGUAGCUGAUGACUGUGAAUUAGAAAGUUGUCCGUCUUGAUAAGAACAAUUUAUGUACCGAGUUUGGUGUCUGUAGCUAAAAACUAACCCCCUCACUUUUGACAAAAGGUGGCGCUAUAGAG